AUGUGCUCCUCGAAAUCGAAUCAAUGUUGGAACAUAGAACCCGCUUUCUAGGAAUUUGGUUUCGCUCUGCUACAUUUGCGUUAAAAACUUUUCUGCUCUCUGUUCCCUAAGUUACUGCAUCUUCAUGGAUGAAUUGGGUGUUUCUAUUCGUUUACUGUAGUGUUAGGAUGAAAUUCAAGAAACUGGUUUAGCUGAGGCUUUGACUGACACCCAAUGAGUUCCCAUUGGUCUCUCCAACCUCAAGAAUCACCAGUGUUCAUUCUUUUAUAAGACGUCAGACAUGAUUAUACAUAUGGGGAAGGCCACUGAAAAAGAGCUAUUUGGCCUUGCUUUGUCCAGAUGUAACUGCGUUUACUGAGCUACCAAUCAGCCAUGAUUUUUACUAACUAUAGUUUCGCAGCUCCAUUAACCUACUACUCCUUCAUUCAGGGGGAAAGCUUUUCCCAAAUCUAUUUUGAGUUUGAUUUGCUUUGUAGGAUCAAAGGGAAGGAGCUUCCUCCUUCUCAAGAAAGCUUGCUUCAUCUUUAAGCAGAAUCAUCUUAAAGAUGGAGGAGCUUGAUUCGGGUAUGGUAUGCCUAUUGGACCGGGCUCGGAUUAUCAAGGCUCAAAAUGGCAAGGACUUCUCAUCAAGCAAGCUCAAUGCUAUCUUGAACAGUCAGAUACUUUCAUUUAACAUAAUAUCUCAAAACAAGUGAGGAACGUUUCAGGAUUCACUGUGGAGGUUCUCCAACUCCAACAAGCAUGGUCGAUUCAGCCUCUUAGCGUACAGAAAGAGCAAUGCAGCCAGCAAAAUAGGCAAGAUCAAUUUCACCAUGUUUCCGCCGCAACAUUGCUCUUCUUCUCUGGAGCCUCUGCUUGUUUUUGUUUGGCACUUUGCUGUUCUGGUGGCUGUGCUUUGGGUGCUUCCGCCGCUUGUUGCUUCGACUCUUCCCGUAAUGGCUGGCGGACAUGAAG